GACGAACGCUGGCGGCGUGCUUAACACAUGCAAGUCGAACGGUAAGGCUCCAGCUUGCUGGGGUACACGAGUGGCGAACGGGUGAGUAACACGUGGGUGACCUGCCCUGCACUUCGGGAUAAGCCUGGGAAACUGGGUCUAAUACCGGAUAGGACCAUGGUGUGGAUACUGUGGUGGAAAGUUUUUUCGGUGUGGGAUGGGCCCGCGGCCUAUCAGCUUGUUGGUGGGGUAAUGGCCUACCAAGGCGGCGACGGGUAGCUGGCCUGAGAGGGUGGACGGCCACAUUGGGACUGAGACACGGCCCAGACUCCUACGGGAGGCAGCAGUGGGGAAUAUUGCACAAUGGGCGGAAGCCUGAUGCAGCGACGCCGCGUGGGGGAUGACGGCCUUCGGGUUGUAAACUCCUUUCACCAUCGACGAAGGGUUUCUGACGGUAGAUGGAGAAGAAGCACCGGCUAACUACGUG
rnacentral:rRNA from 1 species